rfam:Debaryomyces hansenii strain CBS767 chromosome B complete sequence.
GCCUGGCUAGCUCAAUCGGUAGAGCGUUUGACUCUUAUUAAGAGAAGCGAUCAAAAGGUUGCGGGUUCGACCCCCGCGUCGGGUU